CCUACGGGAGGCAGCAGUGAGGAAUAUUGGUCAAUGGGCGCGAGCCUGAACCAGCCAAGUCGCGUGAGGGAGGACGGCCCUACGGGUUGUAAACCUCUUUUGCCGGGGAGCAACGGGCGUCACGUGUGGCUCCACUGAGAGUACCCGGCGAAAAAUCCUCGGCUAACUCCGUGCCAGCCGCCGCGGUAAUACGGAGGAUGCGAGCUUUCUCCGGAUUUAUUGGGUUUAAAGGGUGCGUAGGCGGAUCGUUAAGUCAGUGGUCAAAUUGAGGGGCUCAACCCCUUCCCGCCAUUGAAACUGGCGAUCUUGAGUGGAAGAGAGGUAUGCGGAAUGCGUGGUGUAGCGGUGAAAUGCAUAGAUAUCACGCAGAACCCCGAUUGCGAAGGCAGCAUGCCGGCUUCCGACUGACGCUGAAGCACGAAAGCGUGGGGAUCGAACAGGAUGAGAUACCCGAGUAGUC
rnacentral:rRNA from 1 species